rnacentral:rRNA from 1 species
GAUGAACGCUGGCGGCGUGCCUAAUACAUGCAAGUCGAGCGAACGGACGAGAAGCUUGCUUCUCUGAUGUUAGCGGCGGACGGGUGAGUAGCACGUGGAUAACCUACCUAUAAGACUGGGAUAACUUCGGGAAACCGGAACUAAUACCGGAUGAUAUUUUGAACCGCAUGGUUCAAAAGUGAAAGACGGUCUUGCUGUCACUUAUAGAUGGAUCCGCGCUGCAUUAGCUAGUUGGUAAGGUAACGGCUUACCAAGGCAACGAUGCAUAGCCGACCUGAGAGGGUGAUCGGCCAAACUGGAACUGAGACACGGUCCAGACUCCUACGGGAGGCAGCAGUAGGGAAUCUUCCGCAAUGGGCGAAAGCCUGACGGAGCAACGCCGCGUGAGUGAUGAAGGUCUUCGGAUCGUAAAACUCUGUUAUUAGGGAAGAACAUAUGUGUAAGUAACUGUGCACAUCUUGACGGUACCUAAUCAGAAAGCCACGGCUAACUACGUG